rnacentral:misc_RNA from 1 species
CAGAGUUCUUGCAACUCCCAACCCUGUGAACCAUACCAUAUUUUUGUUGUUGCUCUCUGGCAGCGCCCUCCGGGGGUACUGCCAGCGGCGACCCAACUCUAGCCUUUCUGUACAAGUCUGUCUGACCGUCUGAGCUUCUGCAAGCAAAAUAAGUCA